AUGAACGCUAGCGACAGGCUUAACACAUGCAAGUCGAGGGGCAGCACAGGUAGCAAUACCGGGUGGCGACCGGCGCACGGGUGAGUAACGCGUAUGCAACUUGCCUAUCAGAGGGGGAUAACCCGGCGAAAGUCGGACUAAUACCGCAUGAAGCAGGGGCCCCGCAUGGGGAUAUUUGCUAAAGAUUCAUCGCUGAUAGAUAGGCAUGCGUUCCAUUAGGCAGUUGGCGGGGUAACGGCCCACCAAACCGACGAUGGAUAGGGGUUCUGAGAGGAAGGUCCCCCACAUUGGUACUGAGACACGGACCAAACUCCUACGGGAGGCAGCAGUGAGGAAUAUUGGUCAAUGGGCGUAAGCCUGAACCAGCCAAGUCGCGUGAGGGAUGAAGGUUCUAUGGAUCGUAAACCUCUUUUAUAAGGGAAUAAAGUGCGGGACGUGUCCCGUUUUGUAUGUACCUUAUGAAUAAGGAUCGGCUAACUCCGUGCCAGCAGCCGCGGUAAUACGGAGGAUCCGAGCGUUAUCCGGAUUUAUUGGGUUUAAAGGGUGCGUAGGCGGCCUUUUAAGUCAGCGGUGAAAGUCUGUGGCUCAACCAUAGAAUUGCCGUUGAAACUGGGAGGCUUGAGUAUGUUUGAGGCAGGCGGAAUGCGUGGUGUAGCGGUGAAAUGCUUAGAUAUCACGCAGAACCCCGAUUGCGAAGGCAGCCUGCCAAGCCAUUACUGACGCUGAUGCACGAAAGCGUGGGGAUCAAACAGGAUUAGAUACCCUGGUAGUCCACGCAGUAAACGAUGAUCACUAGCUGUUUGCGAUACACUGUAAGCGGCACAGCGAAAGCGUUAAGUGAUCCACCUGGGGAGUACGCCGGCAACGGUGAAACUCAAAGGAAUUGACGGGGGCCCGCACAAGCGGAGGAACAUGUGGUUUAAUUCGAUGAUACGCGAGGAACCUUACCCGGGUUUGAACGCAUUUUGACAGCUCUGGAAACAGAGCCUCUAGCAAUAGCGAUUUGCGAGGUGCUGCAUGGUUGUCGUCAGCUCGUGCCGUGAGGUGUCGGCUUAAGUGCCAUAACGAGCGCAACCCUUGCCACUAGUUACUAACAGGUAAAGCUGAGGACUCUGGUGGGACUGCCAGCGUAAGCUGCGAGGAAGGCGGGGAUGACGUCAAAUCAGCACGGCCCUUACAUCCGGGGCGACACACGUGUUACAAUGGCGUGGACAGAGGGAGGCCACCUGGCGACAGGGAGCGAAUCCCCAAACCACGUCUCAGUUCGGAUCGGAGUCUGCAACCCGACUCCGUGAAGCUGGAUUCGCUAGUAAUCGCGCAUCAGCCAUGGCGCGGUGAAUACGUUCCCGGGCCUUGUACACACCGCCCGUCAAGCCAUGGGAGCCGGGGGUACCUGAAGUCCGUAACCGAAAGGAUCGGCCUAGGGUAAAACUGGUGACUGGGGCU
rnacentral:rRNA from 1 species